CGCGGCCUAUCAGCUUGUUGGUGGGGUGAUGGCCUACCAAGGCGACGACGGGUAGCCGGCCUGAGAGGGUGUCCGGCCACACUGGGACUGAGAUACGGCCCAGACUCCUACGGGAGGCAGCAGUGGGGAAUAUUGCACAAUGGGCGGAAGCCUGACGCAGCGACGCCGCGUGAGGGAUGACGGCCUUCGGGUUGUAAACCUCUUUCGGCAGGGACGAAUGUAGACGGUACCUGUAGAAGAAGCACCGGCCAACUACGUGCCAGCAGCCGCGGUAAUACGUAGGGUGCGAGCGUUGUCCGGAAUUAUUGGGCGUAAAGAGCUCGUAGGCGGUCUGUCGCGUCGAAUGUGAAAACCCGGGGCUCAACUCCGGGCUUGCAUUCGACACGGGCAGGCUAGAGUUCGGUAGGGGAGUCUGGAAUUCCUGGUGUAGCGGUGAAAUGCGCAGAUAUCAGGAGGAACACCGGUGGCGAAGGCAGGUCUCUGGGCCAUAACUGACGCUGAGGAGCGAAAGCGUGGGGAGCGAACAGGAUUAGAUACCCUGGUAGUCCACGCCGUAAACGGUGGGCGCUAGGUGUGGGGAUUGUUUCCACGAUCUCCGUGCCGUAGCUAACGCAUUAAGCGCCCCGCCUGGGGAGUACGGA
rnacentral:rRNA from 1 species